rnacentral:rRNA from 1 species
UUGACCUCAAAUCAGGUAGGACUACCCGCUGAACUUAAGCAUAUCAAUAAGCGGAGGAAAAGAAACUAACAAGGAUUCCCCUAGUAACUGCGAGUGAAGCGGGAAAAGCUCAAAUUUAAAAUCUGGCAGUCUCUGGCUGUCCGAGUUGUAAACUAGAGAAGUGCUAUCCGUGCUGGACCAUGUAUAAGUCUCCUGGAAUGGAGCGUCAUAGAGGGUGAGAAUCCCGUCUUUGACAUGGACUACCAGUGCAUUGUGAUGUGCUCUCAAAGAGUCGAGUUGUUUGGGAAUGCAGCUCAAAAUGGGUGGUAAAUUCCAUCUAAAGCUAAAUAUUGGCGAGAGACCGAUAGCGAACAAGUACCGUGAGGGAAAGAUGAAAAGAACUUUGGAAAGAGAGUUAAACAGUACGUGAAAUUGUUGAAAGGGAAACGCUUGAAGUCAGUCACAUUGGCUGGAGAUCAACCUUGCAUUUGUAAGGUGUACUCUCUGGUUGAUGGGUCAGCAUCAAUUUUGACCAUUGGAAAAAGGUCAGAGGAAUGUGGCAUCCUUGGAUGUGUUAUAGCCUUUGAUUGUAUAC